rnacentral:sRNA from 1 species
CUCGAUAGGUGUUACGAGUUGCUCUUUUGCUUUCGACCGUGAAGAUCUUAUCUCUAUUGAAAAACUUUCAGUGUAGCCAACAUUUGUAGUUGAGAUGACGACAUUUGGUUCCCUUGUAUGUUUUUUUCCCUCUUCUAGUAUUAAUUUUCUUUCUCGUCGUUUUAAUGUGCGGAUCGAUUGCCUUGGAAAAAGACAUGAGAUCGCAAUAGGUUUUUUUCCCAUGUAAGCACGUCGGUUCCUGAAUGACUCUCUCUCUCUCUAGAAGAGAGUCUCGUUCCGACUACUUCAUAGAAAUUAUGUUAAGCGGAAAAGAACCAUUCAUUUGCAAUAUUUUGAAAUUUCAAAAAUCUCUCGUAAUUUAAA